UUGCUCACCUCAGCGGCACAUACACUAAAAUUGGACCAGUACAGAGAAGAUCAGCAUGGACCCCGAACAAGGAUGACACACACAUUUGGGAAUUUGCAUCUGACCAA
rnacentral:snRNA from 1 species